GUCAGCAAAUACCGCUGCCAACAGGAUUUUCUGCCAGUCAGUGCUCAUGGAGUGUGAGCAAUGCAGAAAACCCUCAAGGCUGGAAGCCGAAUUACUUUGCGGGAUCA
rnacentral:rRNA from 1 species